rnacentral:lncRNA from 1 species
CAAACUGAGAGUACUGAUAAUAAAGAACUGAAACCAAACUGUACUUUUUAACUGGCGAAUAUUACUAAAUAACCAAUCAGCUGAUCUAAUUUGUAUGAAAUUUAGAGAAUAUAUAAUUUAUAAUACGAUACGAAAUAUUUAAAUAUUAAAAACUAUAAUUUUAACUGUUUUCUAGCUAACAUGUUUUUGAAAUUAAUCAGCAAGUCCCUUGAAACAUUAUUAUGUAAAAAUAUAACAUAAUAUUUUAAUUAUUGGCACAAUACUAAUCACAAUAUUGCUGUCUCUGAACUUCAAUAUUUAAUCAACUAAAUCAAUUGUACAUAUUUACUGAAAUAUCCAAAAAUUCGAGCAAAAAAUUAUAAUAAAUUAAACUUUAAGGAUCAAAGCGUCACACUUUGUAUAGUUUCAGG